rnacentral:misc_RNA from 1 species
GGGAGGCCAUCACGAGAGAAUUUCUUCGCGCAUCAGUUCCAUCAAUCAGCUGUCGCACGGCCGCAGUUCGUUUUCGCUUCAUUUGGUCGUGUGGGGCUUCUUAUUCUUUGAUUUUAGAGUGCUGUUCCUGCUAUGCACGCAAUCAAUUCUCCCAGGUUCAAGUGCAAGCGGAACAUUUACCACUAAAUUAGGGGAUAUUUCUGUGGUUUAUUGCCAGAAAUGGCCUCUUUGUAAGAUUUCUACGAAGUGAGUAGCAUGGCUUAAGCCUCAUGUAGUCGGGUUUUGCAGGCCUACCGUAUUCUGUUCACCGCUCGCUCCCACCCUGACAGCGGAACAAUUGCCGUGAAAACCAACGUGAGAGUUGCCGUGAACGAUGAUCCGCUGCUGCUGUCGAGUAAGGGGGUUUGACAGCUGACUGCCGUGUGCAUUGUGUUGUUUGUAUUUUCAACAUGUUUUUUUCCUCCAAAAUGACUUGUGUGGUGAAUUCACUUCUAUGCGUGUAUAGUACUUGGCAUUAAUGAAAACAACAACAAUUUGGAAUUAGUUCUUUUGGAAAAUUAAAUAUUUCUUUUUCCCCCAGUUUUAGAAAACGCCGCGCUCACGUUUAAUCACGGUAUCAACCACCAAACAUUCUUUACAAAAUGAUAAAAACCGUGAUUUGAGUGGAAUCGCAGAGUAUCCUUAGAGACUAGAUUUACCCCCCAGUGCACCCGAUUGAGUUGGCAGAACUUUGUGUGAAAACAGAAGGGUACAAGUUUUGACACAAAGAGCACCACGCUGCGACCAGCUGGGCCUGAAGACCCGCUUUUGAGUCAAACAUAGCAAAAGGCAUGGCAGCAGCAGCUAUCACAUCUACUUCUUCGUCUUCGAUUCAAAACGUGGCUGGUGGUAACAAUUCCGUCUCAAAUUCUUCAUUAGUAAACCUCGGAUCAACAUCUAUUUCCUCCUCUAAUGCUGGUAGUGAAUCGGCUGUAAUCAGCUCCACAUCCGCAUCCUCUGUAAUUUCAUCCUCUUCGAAUUCCUCUCGCUCUAGACGAAGCAGCAAGCUGUCCCAAUCGAACUAUAGUGACUCCAAGUCAAUGUAUUCAUCAGUCAAUAAUAGUUCGUUCGCAUCCUCUAAAUCCUCCAGCAACCAAGGCAAUACAGACUCUCAUUCAAAAUCAAAGAUCGGACAGCGUAAAUGGAAGGACGACAGUGUCGGUAACAGCAGUGGAACCAAAUCAAGAAGCUUCAAGUGGAAAUUGAAUUCCGAUCACCAUACAACUGCCCCUGAUGACGAACCAGGAUCAUCCAACAAAAGUGAUGUAGAUCGCCGAAAGUGGAAGGAUAUGGACAAGACUAAAGCUUUGAAUACCGUGGCAAGCUUACAGAAAAUGAAGGGUCUCAAAUGGACGGCAUUCUCUGAGUCAAUGGGUGAAAGUGACGAGGAUGACAUUGCUGAACGGACAAAGAAAAAAGAAACAAGCGAACGAAACAAAGUCCACUUAUAUAAACUAAAGGGUCUAAGAUGGAAGUCCUUCGCAGCCGAUACAAACUCCGUGCUCGCUGCCAGCAGUGAUGAUGGUGAAACAUCACACCAACGGAAGAACCGUGACAAAGGGACGGUAUUAAGACUGGAUCGAUCUGAUAUGGAUUUAUAUGGAUUGUGCCCUGAAACUGAUCCCUUCUACGCUGUUAUCUGUGAUAUAUGCAAUGCAGUGGUUAAACCGCAAGGACUUCACAAACACAUGCUACAUCGGCACCAUGGUAGUCAUAGUAAUAGUCAUCAUAGCCAACACCACCUACAUCAUCAUCGACAUGUUUUGCCCAAUUACAUGUCGAACACUACAUCAGGCGAUCGACAGGUCACCGACCACCAUGCCUCGUCAUCAACUCAUGUCACAACAUCAUCUAUAGCAUCCCAAGCGUCAUCCGAACGGGGCACUGAGAAAUCUACAUCAAAAUCUAUGCCAGGAGAAGCUUCACCUUCACUAACGCAAUCACACCAAACCUCAUCAUCAUCUCGCGCUGCCAGCAGCAGUGCAGUGCAUUCCUCGCCUACGAGUUCAAAAAAUAAAAGUAAAUCAACUGGUAAAACCAAGUCGAAAAGUUCCAAAAACGGCAACAAUGCGUCUGGCCAUUCCUCAUCCACAACCCAAUCUCCAUCCCCGUCUUCUGCGUCAUCGUCGUCGACAAAUUUUUCAACAAGUGGGUCCCGUAGUGGGGCCUCCUCCACUGCGACACAGAAUGGUAUUGCGAUGUCGAGCCCAACGACCGUUGCCGUCAGUUCAACGAGCGCUCACCAGCCUCGGUCGAACCUCUCCACAGGACAACAGUCGAACCAGAAACAAUUAAGAACAGGCACGAAUUUAUAUUCUAUCGCAUCAGGACAACACUUCCAAAGUUCUGGCAAGAGUAUUUCCUCAAAGUCUGCCAGUUCAAAGCACAUCGGCAGCGGUACCGGGGAAUUCAAUAAUACAGACAACCCCUCUCUCAAUACCGCAACCUCAUCAAAUUCUAAUUCAUCUGUGUCAUCUGCUUGUUCUAGUAACUCAUUAACGGGCUCAGUUACUCCUCGCAGGACAUAUGGUCGGUGUAAAAGCUCAUCAUCGUCUACCGAACGUAGAACGGUUCCUAUUAAGGAGCGUGAAUAUGAUGCGAAUAAACAUUGCGGAGUUAUUUCUGGUGAUUCGACUAGACCAUGCACCCGAUCCCUUACUUGUAAAGCUCACUCUCUUUCAAUGCGACGCAUGGUCUCUGGUCGUAGUAAAUCGUUUGACAAAUUACUAGCUGAUCAUAGAGCUACGAAAGAACUCCCACUUGCGACGAAAUCAAGGGCUAUGCCGGAGCUGGAAUCGUCGAAUUCGUCCUCCAGCAUGGACCUAGAUCGUCGCAGUGUCAGCUCGAAUUCGAAUCUAUCUGUCGAAGUGCAAGUAUCUUCGACGGCCUCUUCUCAGUCAUCAGUUACAGCAACUGGUGCAGUUGAAAGUACUGGCGUUAACAGUAAACAGUCAACUCCACCUCCCACAGCAACUACCUCAGCGAUUUCGAAGUCAAAUAAUCAGCCGUGUCCCUCUUCAUCGAGAACAACCAGUCCUUCCUUAGCUGCAUCCUAUAACAGCAACAGACUAGCUGCCACACCUAUGCCAGUUGACGAAACUACUGACCUUCCUACCACGGAGACGGUAGAAACAAUUUGUAUGGGCGAGAACGACAAUACAAUUCAGAUAAAUAUUAAUCGAGACGGUACCACGCAAUCCAUAGCUAGCGUGAAUCGUCGAGGAACCCAAACAACUACGAGUGAAUUGCGACGGCGUAGUAGUGAUGAACCACAUCGGGCCCGUGUAACUGCACGGGUGAUUGACACCAGUCGGGCCAACGUGCCGCCUGAACUGCUGGAUGAUAGUAAGUUUGCCACAAACAUAUUCAGCCCGGAAUCAACUGUUCUAAGUGGACCGAUUCGCUUGCUUGAUGAAAGUGAAUCAGCUAAAAGUUCUCGAAUCGAGCCCGAAGCAGAUGUUGAUAUGAGUGACAUGAGCGAAGAGCGCAAGCUACAACUAAUGGUCCAGCGCAAGGUAAGCAAAAAAAACAAAAUCUUGUUCCGUGAUCCAAACAGACCUAGCCCAUCAGCUAUAACAAUUCCCCCGGCUGCAGAAAUUGUGGCUCAAGCUUUCGCCGAAGAGAAUCCCACAGCAACUCUCACCGAUGCGCAGUUCGUUAUGGAUCCUGAAACAAAUGUUGUCUCCGUGUCAGUGUGUGGCACUUUCAAUCCAGACAAUAUACAAUUUAAUUGGGCACCCUUCAACCAGGAAUUUAUAGAAAGUACUCUUUCACAAGCAUUAUCCCCAUACGGGAUAACAGUUACAUCUAAUUCUUCGCAACAUCCAACUGAGCAGGUCUAUGGCAAUCCCAGCUUGAUGCCCAACGCUGAAGAGGAAGGGUUUCAGAUACACCAUCUUCCGCCAUUGACUGAAGAACAGUACAAUCAAAUGAGACCGGAAUUCAUAAACGGUAUGCCCAAGCCGAGUUUGUUAGGUUGCCCAGGGAUAAAAUCGGAAAUCAAAGAGGAAGCCGAAGAUCUGGAGAACUCACCACAUCAGCCGAUUCUGCCGCUGAUUAAGCAGGAAGGAAUUAAGGACGAGAUUAAGCUUGAAAUUAAAGAAGAGCCAAUGGAAGACGACAAUUUGGAUGAUGACAUUAACCAAUCCGACGUGCUUAACGUAUCUCAGUCCACUUUGAGAUCAACAACUGCUGAAUCGGUCACAGACACUUCGACUGUUGAUGAAUCCAUAAUGGAAGAAUGGAUGGGUAGUACCUCAAAUCUGCCUGAUCCGACCAAGGCUUUUAAAAUCGUGCCAGAAAUAAUGUCCCAAAGCCCUGAGCCGAUGUCGUUGGAUUUAGAUGGUUCAUAUGAUGGUGAUAUCGAAUUCCUUCAACCAAUCGCCUCGUCCCUGUCAAAGACGUCCACGGAAUGUCUGACUUCGAUUAAUGAAAAGGAGAAUUCAAAUUGUUCGAAUGAGGAACGGAUGCGUUACUUUACCGUGGAUGAUGAGAUAUAUCGAAAUGAAAAUAACGGGUCUGCUCCAAAUUGGUACUAUGGCAGAUUACCCAAACCUUAUUACGUUAAUACCUUCGGAUUGGUUAAGCUUCGUGGUGGCACGAAUUUCAGAAAAAGUAUAUUGUGCACACGCCGCGCCAAUUCCUCCAUUCAUGCCUACCAGACCCUUUUCCAGGGUGGUCAUGCUACGUUUUUCCGACGUGACAACUGCAGUACACUGGGAUCAAAGCACUGCACAGUAGAUAGCAAUGGCGCUAUUUCCUUAAGUGCCAAUUCCAGUUUCGAUGCAUCCAAAAACAUGAAUUCUAAUUCGCCUGGUAGCAUGCGAAGUGGCUGUAUGUCUACCGUGGCCACAAGUGGGAAUGCGAUCAAGGGCGUAAAGCAAACACGGCGUCAAAACUCAGCCAACUCUCCUAGCAGUCAGGUAUUGAAGCGACAACCGCCUAACUUCAUUUCAUCGGCUAGUACCCAAACGCCACCAUCAAGUCCGUUCUAUAAACGGUAUCAGUCGGUUGGAUCGACUAGCAAAGUACGCUUGCAGAAGCGCAGCAUUAUCAUGCAUUUUCGCGGCAACGGUGGAGGUCCUCAACAUUUAUCGAAGACUUGUGCUAUCCUCCAAUCUCAAAUUGUACACAAGCUUGCUGAGCAGCUAUUAGGGUUUAAGAAAUCCCCGAAGAAUACGGAUGAAUCGCAAUCAAGCUCAGUAGGCAAUUACGCUAAGGGAGCAGCCACCAAGCAGGACCACAUGGGCAUCAAUAAUUUAGUAAUAGUGACGGGCAUUCAUCACUACCGUCGUCAUUGCCGGCCGAUUCGUCGCCAACACCGACAUCGUCGCCAAUCAGUCAAAGUACGAAUACCACCGCAAACCCUAUGAAAAUUUUCCGGAGUUCAACCACCACUGGGGGCUCAACAAAUAGCGCUCACAGCAACAGUAACAACGUCAAAGGUACACAGCAUCUCCGACGGUAACACAAUUGGUAACUCAAUCCGCAGCCCAGGAAACGGCCACCACGACCAGUUCUGUUCCAAACAAUUGUAUGCCGAUGGCGUUCAACAGUAAUCAUAUCGCUUCAUUGCAACCACG